AUUGAACGCUGGCGGAAUGCUUUACACAUGCAAGUCGAACGGCAGCACGGACUUCGGUCUGGUGGCGAGUGGCGAACGGGUGAGUAACAUAUCGGAACGUAUCCAAUAAUGGGGGAUAACGAGUCGAAAGAUUCGCUAAUACCGCAUACGCCAUACGGGGGAAAGCUGGGGACCUUCGGGCCUGGCGUUAAUGGAGCGGCCGAUAACUGAUUAGCUAGUUGGUGAGGUAAAGGCUCACCAAGGCGACGAUCAGUAGCUGGUCUGAGAGGACGACCAGCAACACUGGAACUGAGACACGGUCCAGACUCCUACGGGAGGCAGCAGUGGGGAAUUUUGGACAAUGGGCGCAAGCCUGAUCCAGCCAUUCCGCGUGAGUGAAGAAGGCCUUCGGGUUGUAAAGCUCUUUCGCAAGGGAAGAAAACUUAGCCACUAACAUUGGUUGAGGUUGACGGUACCUUGAUAAGAAGCACCGGCUAACUACGUGCCAGCAGCCGCCGUAA
rnacentral:rRNA from 1 species